GCUCCGCCUGGCGCACGACUACGUCGCGGGUUGCGGUUCCGCGGCCGCGGGCGUACGGGGGGUUCGCGGCCCGGGCAGGGCGCC
rnacentral:tRNA from 1 species